UUAAAUAGGCAAGUAUCUUAUUGAUGUUCAUAAAUCAACCAUUAAACAUAUAUUUUGCUAUACUAAACAAAGUUUUCUUUCUUUGCUUCUUCUCAAUAUCUCAGUAUGUCUACUAAAAAUGUGAUUUCAUUUUUAAUGGUCAUAUGCAUCAUAGUCUCCGUAAAUGCAAGACCACUUUUUUCGUCUAUUUUUACUGAUCCAUAUCCGUACCUUAAUAGUUUACCAGGAUUUUUUCAUGUAUUCAGAUGUUAUUCAUCUGUGAUGAAAUUUCCAAUAUGCGUUAUACAAACUACUGAAUCCGUACGUAAUAAGCGAUGGGAAAUCAGUCCUUAUUGUUGCAAGGCAUAUUUACAUACCAAAGAUUACUGCUUGCCAAAAAUUCCCUACAUGCCAAAAUUUCCUUCUUUCAUAAGAAAUCAUUGUAAAAAAGUUGUUCGCAAGUAAAAUUUU
rnacentral:sRNA from 1 species